rnacentral:misc_RNA from 1 species
GGUUUUAUGACGCAUUGGAUAAAUCGAAUUGAUUGGACGUUUGAAUUGUAUUUUUCUAUUAGAUACAUAUUUAAAUUUAAACAAAAACGGUGAUGAUGAUAAGUGAUGAUUCGUUAUUUUCCGAAGUCGCUUCAAAAUGGCAGUUUAACAGAAUGUUAUAUUAAACCUUGUUAAUGUAAUAUGUGUUUAUGUGUUUUAAAAUUACUGGAGGCAAAUCUAUACCGCCCCGGGAAAUAAACAAUCGAUAUACUUAAUAUUUCAAGACUGGAUAAAACAAUUCAGGUAAAUUUAUCUGAGGUUUGAAGACAAUGUAUCGUCAAAAGCGUCCUGGUCGACGCGU